rnacentral:tRNA from 1 species
GGUGGGGUGGCUGAGAGUUUAAGCGGUGGAUUGUAAUCCCAUAGACAGAGGUUAAACCCCUCUCCCCACCA